GCCGGAAUAGCUCAGUUGGUAAAGCAGAGGACUGAAAA
rnacentral:tRNA from 2 species